UUUAUGCUGAAACAUUCAGUUUGAAAACACAGCAGCAGUUUGUGUUCAUUUCCAGCAACAGUAAUUCCUUCCUUUAUUGAGAUGGGUCUAGGCAGAGUUUUGAGUUUCUUUACUUUAGCAAUGUUCAUUCAAUAUUGCUGCAGUCAGACACUGAUCGAGUCUGAUUCAGUAAUCAUCAAACCUGAUCAGUCUCAUAAACUGACCUGCACAGCUUCUGGAUUUAACUUUGGUAGCUACUGGAUGGCUUGGAUCAGACAGGCACCUGGAAAAGGGCUGGAAUUUGUUGCAACUAUUGAGAAUGAUAGUGAUAGGAAGUUUUACUCCAGUGCAGUUAACGGCCGCUUCACCGUCUCCAGAGACAACAGUAAGAUGCAGGUGUAUCUGCAGAUGAACAGCGUGAGGACAGAAGACACUGCAGUGUAUUACUGCGCUAGACACACACAGUGAUACUUCUCCUUAAACAUCAAUACAAAAACACACGCCUGCUCUAGUCACAUGACAAACUCACAUUUCCAUCAACUGUGUGUUUAUGGAGCUCAAAGAACCAGACUGUCUAUGAGUAAUAUUUGGUAUUUAAUAUAUUACAAAUAAUAUUUAACAUUUGUAUUAAAUUCUUUGAC